rnacentral:lncRNA from 1 species
UGUAAGACUGAGCACUGAGCUCGGUUAAGCCCACUGAAACUCAAGCGAUCCAGGAUGGAGGAAAGCCUAUGAAAUCUGGACAUCAGAGCCCUGCUGAUCUACCUAGCACUCCACCUCUGAAUUGCUGCAUCAGACCAAGCCUAGGAGGCCUGGGGAGCCAAGGACAUCCCACACAGCACGUUGAUCACCCGAAUGGAAUUUUACACGUGCUGGGGAAGAGCAGGUUUCCUUAAUUUGCCUAAAGCCAUGGGAAGGUCCGAAUUCCUUCUCCCAGCUCUAGAAGCCUGGGUUUUGUUUGUUUGAAGUCUCACGUUGCAGGGACCAGCCUGCACCGUCCAUUCCUACCGCUCGGAAGUCUGCAGAGGGCAUCAGGUCUUCCUUGGCAAUAAACGUUUAAAACCACCUC